UGCCUCCCUAGCUCAGCGUGGUAGAGCAUCCGACUGUUAAUCGGAUGGUCAUCAGUUCAAGUCUGAUGGGAGGCGCUUC
rnacentral:tRNA from 1 species